rnacentral:rRNA from 1 species
ACCCUACGGGCAAGCAGCAGUGGGGAAUAUUGCACAAUGGGCGCAAGCCUGAUGCAGCCAUGCCGCGUGUAUGAAGAAGGCCUUCGGGUUGUAAAGUACUUUCAGCGGGGAGGAAGGGAGUAAAGUUAAUACCUUUGCUCAUUGACGUUACCCGCAGAAGAAGCACCGGCUAACUCCGUGCCAGCAGCCGCGGUAAUACGGAGGGUGCAAGCGUUAAUCGGAAUUACUGGGCGUAAAGCGCACGCAGGCGGUUUGUUAAGUCAGAUGUGAAAUCCCCGGGCUCAACCUGGGAACUGCAUCUGAUACUGGCAAGCUUGAGUCUCGUAGAGGGGGGUAGAAUUCCAGGUGUAGCGGUGAAAUGCGUAGAGAUCUGGAGGAAUACCGGUGGCGAAGGCGGCCCCCUGGACGAAGACUGACGCUCAGGUGCGAAAGCGUGGGGAGCAAACAGGAUUAGAUACCUGGGGGUAGUCCAAGGAUUUAUUAUGCCGUUUCUUG